rnacentral:rRNA from 1 species
GAUGAACGCUAGCGGCAGGCCUAACACAUGCAAGUCGAGGGGUAGAGUUAGCUUGCUAACUUGAGACCGGCGCACGGGUGCGUAACGCGUAUGCAAUCUACCUUGUACAGGGGGAUAGCCCAGAGAAAUUUGGAUUAAUACCCCAUGGUGUUUAGAAGUGGCAUCACUUUUUUACUAAAGUUCCAACGGUACAAGAUGAGCAUGCGUCCCAUUAGCUAGUUGGUAUGGUAACGGCAUACCAAGGCUAUGAUGGGUAGGGGUCCUGAGAGGGAGAUCCCCCACACUGGUACUGAGACACGGACCAGACUCCUACGGGAGGCAGCAGUGAGGAAUAUUGGUCAAUGGUCGCAAGACUGAACCAGCCAUGCCGCGUGCAGGAAGACGGUCCUAUGGAUUGUAAACUGCUUUUAUACAGGAAGAAACCCUCUCACGUGUGGGAGCUUGACGGUACUGUAUGAAUAAGCAUCGGCUAACUCCGUGCCAGCAGCCGCGGUAA